rnacentral:misc_RNA from 1 species
GAUGAAGAACGUAGCGAAAUGCGAUAAGUAAUGUGAAUUGCAGAAUUCAGUGAAUCAUCGAAUCUUUGAACGCACCUUGCGCCCUUUGGCCAUUCCGAAGGGCAUGCCUGUUUGAGUAUCAUGAACACCUCAACUCUUUAUGGUUUUCCAUGAUGAGCUUGGACUCUGGGGGUUUUGCUGGCUCACAGUCGGCUCCUCUAAAAUGAAUCAGCUUACCAGUGUUUGGUGGGUAUCAUGGGUGUGAUAACUAUCUACGCUUGUGGUUUUUCCACCGGGUAACCUUCAGCAGUGGAGGUUCGCUGGAGCUCAUAGAUGUCUCUCCUCAGUGAGGACAGCCCUUUGAAUGUUUGAUCUCAAAUCAGGUAGGACUACCCGCUGAACUUAAGCAUAUCAAUAAGCGGAGGA